rnacentral:lncRNA from 1 species
GUAUAGCCUUACUGCUUUCUAUUGCUGUAAAUGUGUACUUCAUUUGCAUGCAGAAAUUUAGAGAGCAGUGCCAGACAUUUUAUAACAAUUAUAUUGAUGUUUGCUUCAGCGGUAACACAACCAGCGAGCCUGAGGAAUCAGAUACAGAACAGGAUCAAGCUGACAUGCAGUACUCCGCAGUUAAUAUUUCCACUGAAAAUGAGGGGUGUGAGGACCAAUCUGAAGAGAUCGGGGUAGACUGUGUGUAUUCUGCUGUCAAACACUGAUCAGCACUUCUAUAUAAAAUAAGAUAAAAUAGCUUUCACCAUAUUGUUUAUUUCACAGCUAGAAGCCUGAUAAAGUUGCAUUUGACCAUUUUCACACCCAAUUUAUAUGUGCUGAAUUUAAACAAAGUCAUUAAGUUAAACAUACAUUUAAUUUGUUUGUUUAAAUGAAGCUCAUAUAAAAUGCUUGCAGCAAUUUCCAAUGGAACUAUUUUUUUCAGUAUAGGAGAAAUGAUACAUUAUUAUUAGACUGUGGGUGUGAAAAAUGGUCAAAUGCAACUUUAUCAGGCUCAGAGGCUUCUAGCUGUGAAAUAAACAAAAUGAAAUCUUACCCUAGCCACUUACCUAAAAAAAUGUGUAAAUCCAAUGAAUAUUAUUUUUCAGUGUAUUAACUCCUUAAUAAAAUGUUUAUACUGCUUAGAUUUAAAAUGGGUCGGAUAUGUUUUGUGGUCUGUGCCGACCUGUUUGUGGUCUGUGCCGACCUGUGCACCAACUAUAUUCACCCCAAUGGUAGGCUUAUUUACACUGUUUAAAUCAUUUUUUCUC